GAAAUCAGUUUAUAUUUAAUAUACACAUGCAAGUCUCCGCACCCCUGUGAAAACGCCCUAAAACCCCUAACAGGGAAUAGGAGCUGGUAUCAGGCACAACCACCCGCCCAAGACACCUAGCCUCGCCACACCCACAAGGGCCCUCAGCAGUGAUUAACAUUGAGCAUAAGCGACAGCUUGACUCAGUCAAAUUAUACAGAGCCGGCCAAUUUGGUGCCAGCCGCCGCGGUUAUACCAAAAGCUCAAAUUGAUUUUUAUCGGCGUAAAGCGUGAUUAAAAGAACCCCCACCCUCUGGAAUCUAAUUAAAGUUAAGCUGUGACACGCCUACUUAUUAAGAAACCCAAAAACGAAAGUUAUUCCAA
rnacentral:rRNA from 1 species